rnacentral:sRNA from 1 species
UUUUUGCGUAAGGGAUAGUAGCGGCAUCCUUUUUUGUUAUUGCGAUUGCUGAAAGGUUCUACUGAUUGCUUCACAUCGUUCGCAAUGACAAAAAAAAUAUAGCGGAUAGCCCGACCCGCU